CGAGCAUCUGGAGGAAGUAGAGGGUGGGGCGGAGGCGGCGGGCCACGUCGGAGACGAGGAGGCGGGGGCGGCGACCGAUGACGCGUCGGAGAUCGCGGCCCUGGACGCCGGCCUCGCGGAGGAGGAAGGCGACGGCGGCGGCGAGGUCGGCGGGGGCGGCGGUGAGGAUCUCGGGGCACAUGCCGCAGGCGCGGCGGAUCUCGGGGGCGGCGAGGCCGAGGGAGCGGAGGAAGUCGACGGCGACGCGGAGGUCGGCGAGGGGAACGGCAACGAGGGCCGGGUGGGCGGCGGCUGCGGCGAAGAGGUCGACGCCAAGGGCGUCGAGGAAGAGGAGCUUGUCGCGGAAGGAGGAGGAGGAAGAGGGGGCGGAAUCGGGAGGCAGAAGGGGAAGAGUGGGG
rnacentral:lncRNA from 1 species